GAUGAACGCUGGCGGCGUGCCUAAUACAUGCAAGUCGAACGCGCAGCGAGAGGUGCUUGCACCUUUCAAGCGAGUGGCGAACGGGUGAGUAACACGUGGAUAACCUGCCUCAAGGCUGGGGAUAACAUUUGGAAACAGAUGCUAAUACCGAAUAAAACUUAGUAUCGCAUGAUAUAAAGUUAAAAGGCGCUACGGCGUCACCUAGAGAUGGAUCCGCGGUGCAUUAGUUAGUUGGUGGGGCAAAGGCUUACCAAGACAAUGAUGCAUAGCCGAGUUGAGAGACUGAUCGGCCACAUUGGGACUGAGACACGGCCCAAACUCCUACGGGAGGCUGCAGUAGGGAAUCUUCCACAAUGGACGAAAGCCUGAUGGAGCAACGCCGCGUGUGUGAUGAAGGCUUUAGGGUCGUAAAGCACUGUUGUAUGGGGAGAAAUGCUAGAAUAGGGAAUGAUUCUAGUUCGACGGUACCAUACCAGAAAGGGACGGCUAAAUACGUGCCAGCAGCCGCGGUAA
rnacentral:rRNA from 1 species